GUGUACAAUAUCAAAUAUAUAUUAAAAUAAAAAUGUUUAACAAAUUAAAAUAAUUGAGGUUUAUAUUACAGUACAGUAUAUCUUAUGAGUACAUGAUAUGAAGUUAUGCUGUUGAUCUUUUUUAUAUAUUAUUAUCAGGAUUGUUAUAGGAUUAUAAGAAAUAAAAUAAACAUUGUUAUAGGAUUAUAAUCUUAUAAUCUAUAUCUAUAUCUAUAUCUAUAUCUAUAUCUAUAUCUAUAUAUAUCUUAUAAUCCUAAACAUUGUUAUAGGAUUAUAAGAAAUAAAAUAAAAAAUGGAGAAGGUCAAAAAAAUAAAAGUGAAUCAAGCUAUUGAAUUACUUUGGCUAAAUAAGAAAGAUGCGCAGAAGAAGAAGACAAAUGAUCAUAAGAUAGAAAAAUCAUUGAAUAUUCACACUCAGUGUAAAAUUAUACAUUAUUACAAGAAAAGUAAGAAGCAACAUUCAGUAAGUUCCUCAAAGUACAAGAUACUCUCUGAAAUAAAAUCACAUGCGAUUAAAAAAAAUUGGAGUAAAGUUAAAAAUCUAUUUUUAUUAUUACUAAAUUUUUCUAUUGAUAUUGAACCUUUAAUAUGGCGUUAUAGUCUUAUACUUUCAUUAUAUAGCAAUAUCGAUAAUUUAUCUAAUAUUUCCCAACUUUUUGAAACAUGUAUUGGUGCUUCACAUUCUGAUAAAAAUUUAAUACUAAAAAAUUUAUUGUUAUUGCGUCAUAAAUAAACAAAUUUUUAUGUCAUAAA